rnacentral:rRNA from 1 species
CACUCCUACGGGAGGCAGCAGUGGGGAAUAUUGCACAAUGGGCGCAAGCCUGAUGCAGCCAUGCCGCGUGUAUGAAGAAGGCCUUCGGGUUGUAAAGUACUUUCAGCGGGGAGGAAGGCAAUACGGUUAAUAACCGUGUUGAUUGACGUUACCCGCAGAAGAAGCACCGGCUAACUCCGUGCCAGCAGCCGCGGUAAUACGGAGGGUGCAAGCGUUAAUCGGAAUUACUGGGCGUAAAGCGCACGCAGGCGGUCUGUCAAGUCGGAUGUGAAAUCCCCGGGCUCAACCUGGGAACUGCAUUCGAAACUGGCAGGCUUGAGUCUUGUAGAGGGGGGUAGAAUUCCAGGUGUAGCGGUGAAAUGCGUAGAGAUCUGGAGGAAUACCGGUGGCGAGGGCGGCCCCCUGGACAAAGACUGACGCUCAGGUGCGAAAGCGUGGGGAGCAAACAGGAUUAGAAACCCUUGUAGUCCCA